rnacentral:lncRNA from 1 species
CAAACACUUUGGAGCAGAGGCCCUGCAACUGCAGGAAAUGUGCUCCUGUGGGAAGGUGCCGUCCUCGGUGUGCGUGGGGGCAGGAGGGAUGCUCAGCCCUGGGGAGGCAAUGCUCUAUCGUGGGUUCUGCAGCAGAGAAGGGGCUCAAGACAGACACCGUAAUCCCCGUGUGAAGUGUAAGUAAAGAAGCUGUUGGAGUACUCUCUCCUCAAGCUGGGAGCGUGCAGCCGGGCCCUUAUAGGGAGAGGCAAAGCAGAUCCAUCAGCGCUCCCGUUGGGCAGAUGAGCAGUGGCAGUCGCACGGCAUUGCAGAGCGGUGCCAGGGAGAACGUGGCUGCGUGUCCCGCUGGACAGGUCCAGCGCUGUGGUACCGAGUCCUGGUGCAGCUGUGAUCCAGUUUCAGAAAGUGGGUGAGGAGAUGCUGCCCUUCAUGGCACGCUGCAGAAGAUCGAUGUGUUUUUGAAGUGAAACUCAGAGUUUUUUACCCGGAAACAACGCGGACGCCUGCUCUGAAUGCUAAGCAGCUCCUUGGGAGGACGUCCCCCAGCACAAAGGGCAGAGCGGUGCUCAGCCCCCUCCUUCAGCCCCGCGCUGGGAGAGCCACGGACCGCAUCGAGGCACCCCUGCAGGGCCUCCUGCACAGUGAAUGGAAGUGCUUUUCACCUCCUUUCAUCUGAAAAACCACCCGGGAGAACAGAGAACAGCUCCCCAGUGGCAGAGAGGGGGGCGCAGGCUCACAGCAGGUGACCCAGCUCACAGCCCGGCGCGGGGACAGGACGGACCUGGCACACAGCGCUGCUCCUUUGCCACCGUAUGGUGAUGGGCCACGAGGGCAGAAGUCACCGAGACCGAUGGUGGCUCCCUGGGAACCGCAGUAAUCUCAUUCCGGGAGCAAAUCACAUUCCCAGCAGCCAAGGACAUGUUAGGUCUUAAUAAAAAUGGACCCGGCUGCUGUGCCCUGUCUCGAUGUGCACCCGAACGGCCCCAGGGGUCAGAGCUGUUUGUUUGCAGUUUCCUAGGAG